rnacentral:rRNA from 1 species
AGGACGAACGCUGGCGGCGUGCUUAACACAUGCAAGUCGAGCGAGGCUCCUCCUUCGGGAGGUGUCCUAGCGGCGAACGGGUGAGUAACACGUGGGCAACCUGCCCCUAGCUCUGGAAUAACCCCGGGAAACCGGGGCUAAUACCGGAUACGACUUCGGCCGACAUCGGCCGAGGUGGAAAGAUUUAUCGGCUAGGGAUGGGCCCGCGGCCUAUCAGCUUGUUGGUGAGGUAACGGCUCACCAAGGCGACGACGGGUA